rnacentral:sRNA from 1 species
UAUCCGGGGCAGCGGAGCAGGGCGGCCGAAACGGCCCUGGCAGAGGUCGGGCCCCUCGGGGCCGCGUGGCCAAUCAGAUCCCCCCUGAGAUCCUGAAGAACCCCCAGCUGCAGGCAGCAAUCCAGGUCCUGCCUUCCAACUACAACUUUGAGAUCCCCAAGACCAUCUGGAGGAUCCAACAAGCCCAGGCCAAGAAGGUGGCCUUGCAAAUGCCAGAAGGCCUCCUCCUCUUUGCCUGCACCAUUGUGGAUAUCUUGGAAAGGUUCACAGAGGCCGAAGUGAUGGUGAUGGGUGACGUGACCUAUGGGGCUUGCUGUGUGGAUGACUUCACAGCGAGGGCCCUGGGAGCUGACUUCUUGGUGCACUACGGCCACAGCUGCCUGAUUCCCAUGGACACCUCGGCCCAAGACUUCCGGGUGCUGUAUGUCUUUGUGGACAUCCGGAUAGACACUACCCACCUCCUAGACUCUCUCCGCCUCACCUUUCCCCCAGCCACUGCCCUCGCCCUGGUCAGCACCAUUCAGUUUGUGUCGACCUUGCAGGCAGCCGCUCAGGAGCUGAAAGCCGAGUAUCGUGUGAGUGUCCCACAGUGCAAGCCCCUGUCCCCUGGAGAGAUCCUGGGCUGCACAUCCCCCCGACUGUCCACAGAGGUGGAGGCCGUUGUGUAAGUUAAAAAUGGGGGCCAAGUAAGUCCUAGGGACACGCGUGUACCCUGGGAGGGAGCCUGAGGUUCAUCAUCCAGGAAAGAAACCAAACCUAAUGCUCCUUACCUGUGAGCCCAAGGUCACACUGCAAGGUAGGGACCAAACAGGGAGCAGACCUCAGAUUUACUGUCGCUUUCUCCACUGCCCAGUCCAUCAUCCAGAAGGCUGUGCAGGGUCGGGGCAGGAAUCAGAGGGCCUGAUGGGGGGAUGAGGGUGGGCUGGAAAUGGUGGGAAUAUAAUUGGAGAAGAUGGAUGGGCACGCCCAGGCUGCAGCCCCAUUAAUUUACC